UCCCUGGUAACUCAGUUGGUAAAGAAUCUGCCUGAAAUGCAGGAGGCCCAGCUUUGAUUCCUGGUCAGGAAG
rnacentral:tRNA from 1 species